AGUGAACGCUGGCGGUAGGCCUAACACAUGCAAGUCGAACGGCAGCACAGUAAGAGCUUGCUCUUACGGGUGGCGAGUGGCGGACGGGUGAGGAAUACAUCGGAAUCUACUUUUUCGUGGGGGAUAACGUAGGGAAAGUUACGCUAAUACCGCAUACGACGUACGGGUGAAAGCAGGGGAUCUUCGGACCUUGCGCGAUUGGAUGAGCCGAUGUCGGAUUAGCUAGUUGGGGGGGUAAUGGCCCACCCAGGGGACGAUCCGUAGCUGGUCUGAGAGGAUGAUCGCCGACACUGGAACGGAGCCACGGUCAAGACUCCUACGGGAGGCAGCAGUGUGGAACAUUGGACAAUGGGCGCAAGCCUGAUCCAGCCAUACCGCGUGGGUGAAGAAGGCGUUCGGGUUGUAAAGACCUUUUGUUGGGAAAGAAAAGCAGCAGGUUAAUACCCCGCUGUUCUGACGGUACCCAAAGAAUAAGCACCGGCUAACUUCGUG
rnacentral:rRNA from 1 species